rnacentral:rRNA from 1 species
GAGAGUUUGAUCCUGGCCUCAGGACGAACGCUGGCGCGCGCUGCCUAAUACAUAGCAAGUCGAACGCUUCUUUUUCCACCGGAGCUUGCUCCACCGGAAAAAGAAGAGUGGCGAACGGGUGAGUAACACGUGGGUAACCUGCCCAUCAGAAGGGGAUAACACUUGGAAACAGGUGCUAAUACCGUAUAACAAUCAAAACCGCAUGGUUUUGAUUUGAAAGGCGCUUUCGGGUGUCGCUGAUGGAUGGACCCGCGGUGCAUUAGCUAGUUGGUGAGGUAACGGCUCACCAAGGCCACGAUGCAUAGCCGACCUGAGAGGGUGAUCGGCCACAUUGGGACUGGAGACACGGCCCAAACUCCUACGCGGGAGGCAGCAGUAGGGAAUCUUCGGCAAUGGACGCAAAGUCUGACCGAGCAACCACCGCGUGAGUGAAGAAGGUUUUCGGAUCGUAAAACUCUGUUGUUAGAGAAGAACAGGGAUGAGAGUAACUGUUCAUCCCUUGACGGUUAUCUAACCAGAAAGCCACGGCUAACUACGUGCCAGCAGCCGCGGCUAAUACGUAGGUGGCAAAGCGUUGUUCCGGGAUUUAUUGGGCGUAAAGCGAGCGCCAGGCGGUUUCUUAAGUCUGAUGUGAAAAGCCCCCCGGGCUUCAAACCGGGGAGGGUCCAUUGGAAAACUGG